GAUGAACGCUGGCGGCGUGCCCAAUACAUGCAAGUCGAGCGAACGGACGAGAAGCUUGCUUCUCUGAUGUUAGCGGCGGACGGGUGAGUAACACGUGGAUAACCUACCUAUAAGACUGGGAUAACUUCGGGAAACCGGAGCUAAUACCGGAUAAUAUUUUGAACCGCAUGGUUCAAAAGUGAAAGACGGUCUUGCUGUCACUUAUAGAUGGAUCCGCGCUGCAUUAGCUAGUUGGUAAGGUAACGGCUUACCAAGGCAACGAUGCAUAGCCGACCUGAGAGGGUGAUCGGCCACACUGGAACUGAGACACGGUCCAGACUCCUACGGGAGGCAGCAGUAGGGAAUCUUCCGCAAUGGGCGAAAGCCUGACGGAGCAACGCCGCGUGAGUGAUGAAGGUCUUCGGAUCGUAAAACUCUGUUAUUAGGGAAGAACAUAUGUGUAAGUAACUGUGCACAUCUUGACGGUACCUAAUCAGAAAGCCACGGCUAACUACGUGCCAGCAGCCGCGGUAAUACGUAGGUGGCAAGCGUUAUCCGGAAUUAUUGGGCGUAAAGCGCGCGUAGGCGGUUUUUUAAGUCUGAUGUGAAAGCCCACGGCUCAACCGUGGAGGGUCAUUGGAAACUGGAAAACUUGAGUGCAGAAGAGGAAAGUGGAAUUCCAUGUGUAGCGGUGAAAUGCGCAGAGAUAUGGAGGAACACCAGUGGCGAAGGCGACUUUCUGGUCUGUAACUGACGCUGAUGUGCGAAAGCGUGGGGAUCAAACAGGAUUAGAUACCCUGGUAGUCCACGCCGUAAACGAUGAGUGCUAAGUGUUAGGGGGUUUCCGCCCCUUAGUGCUGCAGCUAACGCAUUAAGCACUCCGCCUGGGGAGUACGACCGCAAGGUUGAAACUCAAAGGAAUUGACGGGGACCCGCACAAGCGGUGGAGCAUGUGGUUUAAUUCGAAGCAACGCGAAGAACCUUACCAAAUCUUGACAUCCUUUGACAACUCUAGAGAUAGAGCCUUCCCCUUCGGGGGACAAAGUGACAGGUGGUGCAUGGUUGUCGUCAGCUCGUGUCGUGAGAUGUUGGGUUAAGUCCCGCAACGAGCGCAACCCUUAAGCUUAGUUGCCAUCAUUAAGUUGGGCACUCUAAGUUGACUGCCGGUGACAAACCGGAGGAAGGUGGGGAUGACGUCAAAUCAUCAUGCCCCUUAUGAUUUGGGCUACACACGUGCUACAAUGGACAAUACAAAGGGCAGCGAAACCGCGAGGUCAAGCAAAUCCCAUAAAGUUGUUCUCAGUUCGGAUUGUAGUCUGCAACUCGACUACAUGAAGCUGGAAUCGCUAGUAAUCGUAGAUCAGCAUGCUACGGUGAAUACGUUCCCGGGUCU
rnacentral:rRNA from 1 species